GAAUGCUUGGCCAUGUCUGGGAUGGAACUCUUAAUAAAGAGAAGCCCUCGGUACCCCUGGCUGUUGUCCCCGGCUCCGGUGGCACUAGAGGAGGAACAGAGUUUGUGGAUCGACCACGUGAGAGGCAGACUCUUGAGGUCCCCUCUCUCCUCUGGGACCACAGGGGCCUGUUCCUGGGAGCUCAGGCAGGUGGUGGCUCCAGCUGCAAGCAGCCAGGCCCCUUGGCCCUCCAGCCCUCCUGUCGGGCCCAGGCCUCUGCAGACUCGGCAGGCGCGGCCUGGGUGCACACCCGCGUGCCUGGGCCUGGCUCUCUGCACGCACAUAUAUAUUUUAGAAAUGUUUCUCUUAAUCAUAUCUUGAAUUAAUGCAGGCCUCGUUCAUCCCCAGUUCUCAUUACCCUCUUAAUUAACUCGGCACAGAUGGAAAAAGUCGGAAUUGCUCUAGCCGAGUUGUUCUGCUAGUUUUAAAAUGAGAUGGCAGAUGGGAGGACGAGGUGGAACGGGCCGGCGCCGAGGGAGGAGAUGAGUUUUCAAGCUGUCACCGGAGCGUCAACAAACGCUCCAUCUGUCGGUGAGGCCGGCCGGGGACUGAGCAAGGGGCGGGGAGGGGGUGGCUCCGGCCAAGCCUGGGGGGUGCUGGCCACCACAGGCACCUGUGGGCCCGGCCGUAGCCCAGCAAGGGCACCCGGAGACCUCCGGUCCCCGCGCAGGUGAGACCUCUGCCCCGGACCACGAUGCAGACUCAGGCCCCCGCCGCCGAGCGGGAGCCAAGCAGGGCUUAUAUUUUCCUUCUGAUCUAAAAUAGUCUUAAGGAAUAGAUUACAUAACUCGGCUCGGCUGUCAGGGGGAACUUUCUAGAAUGCACAUCAGUCAGCGGCUUGGGACUCCUCGUGGCUCCCGGGCUCUCAGGCUGGCCUGGCCCCUGUGGUCUGCGGCCUCUUUGUCCCACUCUGCCUCAGCACACAGGUCUCCUCUGCUGUCACCCACCCUGGCACGGUGACCUCCGCCCUGCACCCUCAAGACCAGCUGUGUUUUCCUAAAAUUCAGGGAGGUGACCAGGUCACCUUCAUAGCUCCCGUCAGCCGGCGCAGGGCCCUGCCGAUGUCGACAGCCCCACGAGCUGUGCUGUCCGCACGCUGCUUCUCUUUUGGAGUUUUCCAGCUGCACUUUCUUUCCCUCCCACAUGUGAUUACUUCUACCUGCAAGUCCCUCUGCCCUGGCUGCUGUGUCCACAAACUCCUAUGGAUACUGCAAAACCCUACUCAACUCCCGGCAACCUGCAUCCACCUUACUGUCCCCACGAGUUGGGUGGUCUAGGUGACUUACGUGAGUAAACUCCUGUGCAUUUGUCUUUUUCUGCAAAGGGCUUAUUUCACUUAGAAUAAGGUCCUGAACUCAUUCACAUAGCUUGUGUCAGAAUUUCCUUCCCUCCUAAGGCUGAAUAAUACUCCACCAUGCAUAUGGACCACAUUUUGCUCAUCCAUUUAUCCACUGAUGGACACUUCAUUUGCUAGAAAUACGGGCUUUGCAUGCUAAGAUAGCUUCGAAAAUGUACAGAAUGGUAUUAUUUAAGGAGGUGGGGUUGGUGAGGACAGUGAGCUUUAGUGUUGCCCCUGACUUUGAGUCCUGGCUGCGUAUCCUUGAGCUCUGCACCCCAGGGCCUGUCUCGUAGUGUUGAGAGCCACAGCAAACUUCUAGCUGCCAACUCAUUGGCUCCUCUGCGGUGAUGCUC